rnacentral:rRNA from 1 species
UACGUAGGGUGCGAGCGUUGUCCGGAAUUAUUGGGCGUAAAGAGCUCGUAGGCGGUCUGUCGCGUCGGUCGUGAAAACUUGGGGCUUAACCCUGAGCUUGCGGUCGAUACGGGCAUGACUGGAGUUCGGCAGGGAGACUGGAAUUCCUGGUGUAGCGGUGAAAUGCGCAGAUAUCGGGAGGAACACCAGUAGCGAAGGCGGCUCGCUGGGCCAUUCCUGACGCUGAGACGCGAAAGCUAGGGAGCGAACAGG